UACGGGGGGGGCAAGCGUUGUUCGGAAUUACUGGGCGUAAAGGGCUCGUAGGCGGCCAACUAAGUCAGACGUGAAAUCCCUCGGCUUAACCGGGGAACUGCGUCUGAUACUGGAUGGCUAGAGGUUGGGAGAGGGAUGCGGAAUUCCAGGUGUAGCGGUGAAAUGCGUAGAUAUCUGGAGGAACACCGGUGGCGAAGGCGGCAUCCUGGACCAACACUGACACUGAGGAGCGAAAGCCAGGGGAGCAAACGGG
rnacentral:rRNA from 1 species